AAAUAUUGUUUUAUUUGGAUAUAAUAAAUAUAUGUUCAAGUCAAGUUUGACAUUUUUGAAUGAGUUAAUUAAAACUUGACGUCGCCAAAGUGACCUCUCUUGUCUAAAUUGCUCGUGAAGAAUGUCAAAUGGUUGUGUAUAUGUUUAUUCAUGCGGGUAUUGACCGGCCCAAAGGAAGGUUAAUAUUUGGCAGAAUUACAUGGUACACCUGCGAUGAUAAAUGUGUGACAAUUAUUUGGUAUACAUGUGAGCAGUAAAUCGGCCCAAAGGAAGGUUUAUUGUUUGACAUGUCUUAUUGUCAAUAUUUGAUCGUUGCAACAAGAGUACCACUAGCAG
rnacentral:lncRNA from 1 species